rnacentral:rRNA from 1 species
GGACCUGACUGCUAUCGGAUUGAUACUAAGCCAUGCGAGUCAUUGUAGCAAUACAAGGCAUACGGCUCAGUAACGCGUAGUCAACCUAACCUAUGGACGGGAAUAACCUCGGGAAACUGAGAAUAAUGCCCGAUAGAACAUUAUGCCUGGAAUGGUUUAUGUUCCAAAUGAUUUAUCGCCGUAGGAUGGGACUGCGGCCUAUCAGUUUGUUGGUGAGGUAAUGGCCCACCAAGACUAUUACAGGUACGGGCUCUGAGAGGAGUAGCCCGGAGAUGGGUACUGAGACACGGACCCAGGCCCUAUGGGGCGCAGCAGGCGAGAAAACUUUGCAAUGUGCGAAAGCACGACAAGGUUAAUCCGAGUGGUUUCUGCUAAAGGAACCUUUUGUCAGUCCUAGAAACACUGAUGAAUAAGGGGUGGGCAAGUUCUGGUGU